rnacentral:rRNA from 1 species
AAGGGAGUGAAAUAGUACCUGAAACCGUACGCCUACAAGCGGUCGGAGCCAGCAAUGGUGACGGCGUGCCUUUUGCAUAAUGAGCCUACGAGUUACUCCUCACUGGCGAGGUUAAGUUCUUAAGUAACGGAGCCGUAGCGAAAGCAAGUCCAAAUAGGGCGACUAGUCAGUGGGGGUAGACGCGAAACUUUGUGAUCUAUCCAUGGGCAGGUUGAAGUGUUGGUAACACAACAUGGAGGACCGAACCCAUGAGCGUUGAAAAGCUCUGGGAUGACCUGUGGAUAGGGGUGAAAGGCCAAUCAAACUGAGAGAUAGCUCGUUCUCCCCGAAAUGUUUUUAGGAACAGCGUCGCAUAUUAGAAGUUUAUGAGAGGUAGAGCUACUGAUUGGGCUAGGGGGCUUCACCGCCUACCAAACCCUGACAAACUCCGAAUGCUCAUAAAUAUCUGCGGCAGUGAGGCUGUGGGCGAUAAGGUCCAUGGCCGAGAGGGAAAUAACCCAGAUUAGCAACUAAGGUCCCUAAUACAUGGUUAAGUUGAUCAAACGAGGUGGGAUUUCUAUGACAGCCAGGAUGUUGGCUUGGAAGCAGCCACUCAUUUAAAGAGUGCGUAACAGCUCACUGGUCGAGAGAUCCUGCACGGAAAAUAAUCGGGCAUCAAACCAUGAACCGAAGUUCUAAGAUUGCUACUACGUAGUAUAUCGGUAGGGGAGCAUUGAAAUCUGCGCUGAAGGUGUGUGGCGAUGCAUGCUGGAGCGAUUUCAAAAGAAAAUGUAGGCAUAAGUAACGAUAAUUGAAGUGAAAAACUUCAACGCCGUAAACCCAAGGUUUCCUGAUCAAUGUUAAUCAGAUCAGGGUUAGUCGGGUCCUUAGGCGAACCCGAAAGGGGUAGCUGAUGGCAAGUUGGUUAAUAUUCCAACACCUGCUUUAGAUUCGAUGGGGUGACGGGGUAGUGAAAGAUCCGCCUGGUGACGGAAUACCAGGUUAAAGGGUGUAGUUAUAUUUUUUGUAGGUAAAUCCGCAGAGAAUGGCGAACCUGAUAGUACAGCAAAGCUUCGGCCUAGCUGAUAGUGAUCCUAAUCAGACCUCCGAGAAAAACCUCUAAGUUAUGUUUAAAGCAGCCCGUACCGCAAACCGACACAGGUGGGUGGGAUGAGUAUUCUAAGGCGCUCGGGUGAGCC